UACAGAGGUCUCAAGCGUUGCUCGGAAUCACUGGGCGUAAAGGGUGCGUAGGCGGGUCUUUAAGUCAGGGGGGAAAUCCUGGAGCUCAACUCCAGAACUGCCUUUGAUACUGAGGAUCUUGAGUCCGGGAGAGGUGAGUGGAACUGCGAGUGUAGAGGUGAAAUUCGUAGAUAUUCGCAAGAACACCAGUGGCGAAGGCGGCUCACUGGCCCGGUACUGACGCUGAGGCACGAAAGCGUGGGGAGCAAACAGG
rnacentral:rRNA from 1 species